rnacentral:misc_RNA from 1 species
AACGCACAUUGCGCCUCUUGGUAUUCCGAGGGGCAUGUCUGUUUGAGCGUCAGUACACACCUCCUCCGUGGACUUUUAUCGGUCCACCGGCAGGGUCUUGGGAUGCGGUCGGUUUCGACCCCUCCCUAAUGUGGCACGCUUGCGGGCUCCCGGCCAGAUGUCAACGUAGUAAAUUUCAAACUCGUUCCCAACUGUCGAAGGGCCUCGCCUGAUUCAAACUCUUAUGGUUUGACCUCAGAUCAGACAAGGAUACCCGCUGAACUUAA